rnacentral:rRNA from 1 species
UACGUAGGGCGCAAGCGUUGUCCGGAAUUAUUGGGCGUAAAGAGCUCGUAGGCGGCCAGUUGCGUCUGCUGUGAAAUCCCGGGGCUCAACCCCGGGCUUGCAGUGGAUACGGGCUGGCUGGAGGCAGGCAGGGGAGAACGGAAUUCCCGGUGUAGCGGUGAAAUGCGCAGAUAUCGGGAGGAACACCGGUGGCGAAGGCGGUUCUCUGGGCCUUGCCUGACGCUGAGGCGCGAAAGCUAGGGGAGCGAACAGG